rnacentral:tRNA from 1 species
GCCCGCGUAGCUAAGGUUACAGGGCCAGUUCUUGGUAAGGACGAGGUCCCCGGUUCAAUUCCGGGUGUGGGCU